UACGAAGGGUGCUAGCGUUGCUCGGAAUUACUGGGCGUAAAGCGCACGUAGGCGGCUUUCUAAGUCGGGGGUGAAAUCCUGGAGCUCAACUCCAGAACUGCCUUCGAUACUGGAAAGCUCGAGUCCGGGAGAGGUGAGUGGAACUGCGAGUGUAGAGGUGAAAUUCGUAGAUAUUCGCAAGAACACCGGUGGCGAAGGCGGCGACCUGGUCCGUGACUGACGCUGAGGCGCGAAAGCGUGGGGAGCAAACAGG
rnacentral:rRNA from 1 species